rnacentral:rRNA from 1 species
CCUACGGAGGCAGCAGUGGGGAAUAUUGCACAAUGGGGGGAACCCUGAUGCAGCGACGCCGCGUGGGUGAGGAAGUACUUCGGUAUGUAAAGCCCUAUCAGCAGGGAAGAAAAUGACGGUACCUGACUAAGAAGCCCCGGCUAACUACGUGCAAGCAGCCGCGGUAAUACGUAGGGGGCAAGCGUUAUCCGGAUUUACUGGGGGUAAAGGGAGCGUAGACGGCGUGCCAAGUCUGGUGUGAAAGGCCGGGGCUCAAACCCGGGACUGCAUUGGAAACUGGCAUGCUGGAGUGCAGGAGAGGUAAGCGGAAUGCCUGGUGUAGCGGUGAAAUGCGUAGAGAUCAGGAGGAACACCGGCGGCGAAGGCGGCUUACUGGACUGUAACUGACGUGGAGGCUCGAAGGCGUGGGGAGCAAACAGGAUUAGAUACCCCAGUAGUC